ensembl:lncRNA CHROMR cholesterol induced regulator of metabolism RNA
CAGAAGAACCUAUGGGCACAAAAAGCAGGAACGAGUAGCGGUGGCUGAAGAACGAGCAGGAGCUUGAAUUUCAGUUUUCUUAUGAGGAAUUUUCCAGAAAAGAUAUCUUCACUGUGAAAUAACUAAAUAAAUGCCCACUCAGUACAGUCACUGUCUCCCUUUUGGAACUUGAUGGCACCUUAAGCCCAGGUUUGCCUCCACUCUAGAAACUCAUCAGAGUGAUGCCCUUCUCAAAUGGGGGAGGUCCCAAAGCGGAUAUCCUGGCAGUGUGAAAGGCCGGCUAAAGAUAUGAUUUUUUUCCAGACAAAAAUACCUGCUACAUGCUUCCUUCUGUAUGAAUACAUGAGACCUACCUUCAUUCAUGUUUCCUCUAUGAAGCUUUCCCUGCACUCCAAACACAGAGCUGAGACUUCCACCUAAUGUAGAAAGCUAGCACGAGCCGGCGCUGACAGAUGGAAGACUUGAGAUGUUACAAGAUUAUAUAUGGAAACACAAAAGGGUCUCACUCUGUCACCCAGGCUGGAGUGCAGUGCUGUGAUCCUAGCUCACUGCAGCUUUGAUCUUCUGGGCCCAAGCAAUCCUCCCACCUCAGCCUCCUGAGUAGCUGGGACUCAAAGUGUGCCACCACACCUGAUUUUCUUUUUGGUAGAGAUGGGGACUCACUAUGUUGCCCAGGCUGGUCUCAAACUUUUGGCCUCAAGGGAUCCUCCCACCUUGGCCUCCGAAAGAGUUGGGAUUAUAGGCAUGAGCCAACAUGCAUGGUCAAAUGCUUUUUAAACUAGUAAUUCACCUG